GCCGGUACUCUGUGUCUGAGACAUAGAGAAGCUGCUUGUGCUGUGGUUAGGCCUUUCCUAUCUCUUUCUUUAUCACUAUAUCCUAUUACGUGGAUCGUGGAGUUUACUGAACUUACUUGCUUCUUUGUGUUAUUUUAUGAUUCAAAUAAUUAUAAGGUUCCAGAAAAUUGGUUUCGCUUAAAGGCUUUGAUUAUUAGGACAAACCUGGAAGGCGUGGAGGAUUAGGAUUGUGAAAUAAUCUGCCAAAUUCCAAAAUCAAACAAAACUGCCAAACAGGACACCUUCCAUUACAAACUACCAAAAUGAACUCGUCAAAUCUUUGGUCCUUCCGGAAUGACAUGAUACGAUUACAGAAAGAUUUUCUCCGGAUAAAAACGACUACU